rnacentral:rRNA from 1 species
CGUGAAGCGGCAACAGCUCAAAUUUGAAAUCUGGCUUCCUUUGGGAGUCCGAGUUGUAAUUUGCAGAGGAUGUUUCGGGUACCGCUCCGGUUUAAAUUUCUUGGAACAGAAUGUCAGAGAGGGUGAGAAUCCCGUCUUGGACCGGCGGUAGGGCCCAUGUGAAACUCCCUCGACGAGUCGAGUUGUUUGGGAAUGCAGCUCAAAAUGGGUGGUAAAUUUCAUCUAAAGCUAAAUAUUGGCCAGAGACCGAUAGCGCACAAGUAGAGUGAUCGAAAGAUGAAAAGCACUUUGAAAAGAGAGUUAAACAGUAUGUGAAAUUGUUGAAAGGGAAGCGCUUGCGACCAGACUUGUACGCGGCGGUUCCCCCGUCCUUUUGGGCGGGCUAUUCCGUCGUGUUCAGGCCAACAUCGGUUCUGGGGGUUGGUUAAAGGCUUAGGGAAUGUAUCUACCCUUCGGGCGUAGACUUAUAGCCCUAGGUGUCAUACAACCUCCCGGGACCGAGGAACGCGCUUCGGCUCGGAUGUUGGCGUAAUGGUCGUAAGCGACCCGUCUUGAAACACGGACCAAGGAGUCUAACAUUUAUGCGAGUGUUUGGGUGUUAAACCCGGAACGCGGAAUGAAAGUGAACGGAGGUAGGAAGCUUUUAGCUGCACUAUCGACCGAUCCUGAUGUCUUCGGAUGGAUUUGAGUAAGAGCAUAACUGUUGGGACCCGAAAGAUGGUGAACUAUGCCUGAAUAGGGUGAAGCCAGAGGAAACUCUGGUGGAGGCUCGCAGCGGUUCUGACGUGCAAAUCG